UGGGGAAUUUUGGACAAUGGGCGAAAGCCUGAUCCAGCAAUGCCGCGUGUGUGAAGAAGGCCUUCGGGUUGUAAAGCACUUUUGUCCGGAAAGAAAUCCUUGGCUCUAAUACAGUCGGGGGAUGACGGUACCGGAAGAAUAAGCACCGGCUAACUACGUGCCAGCAGCCGCGGUAAUACGUAGGGUGCAAGCGUUAAUCGGAAUUACUGGGCGUAAAGCGUGCGCAGGCGGUUUGCUAAGACCGAUGUGAAAUCCCCGGGCUCAACCUGGGAACUGCAUUGGUGACUGGGCAGGCUAGAGUAUGGCAGAGGGGGGUAGAAUUCCACGUGUAGCAGUGAAAUGCGUAGAGAUGUGGAGGAAUACCGAUGGCGAAGGCAGCCCCCUGGGCCAAUACUGACGCUCAUGCACGAAAGCGUGGGGGAGCAAAACAAGGAUUCAGAUACCCUGGUAGUCCACGCCCUAAAACGAUGUCAACUAGUUGUUGGGGAUUCAUUUCCUUAGUAACGUAGCUAACGCGUGAAGUUGACCGCCU
rnacentral:rRNA from 1 species